AACGAACGCUGGCGGCAUGCCUAACACAUGCAAGUCGAACGAGACCUUCGGGUCUAGUGGCGCACGGGUGCGUAACGCGUGGGAACCUGCCCUUAGGUUCGGAAUAACUCCCCGAAAGGGGUGCUAAUACCGGAUAAUGUCUUCGGACCAAAGAUUUAUCGCCUUUGGAUGGGCCCGCGUUGGAUUAGCUAGUUGGUAGGGUAAAAGCCUACCAAGGGGACGAUCCAUAGCUGGUCUGAGAGGAUGAUCAGCCACACUGGGACUGAGACACGGCCCAGACUCCUACGGGAGGCAGCAGUGGGGAAUAUUGGACAAUGGGCGAAAGCCUGAUCCAGCAAUGCCGCGUGAGUGAUGAAGGCCUUAGGGUUGUAAAGCUCUUUUACCCGGGAUGAUAAUGACAGUACCGGGAGAAUAAGCUCCGGCUAACUCCGUG
rnacentral:rRNA from 1 species